UACGUAGGAGGCAAGCGUUGUCCGGAAUUACUGGGCGUAAAGCGCGUGUAGGUGGUGGGACAAGUCUGCUGUGAAAGCGCCUGGCUUAACCGGGCGAGGUCGGCGGAAACUGUCCGACUCGGAGGACGGGUAGAGGGGGGUGGAAUUCCCGGUGUAGUGGUGAAAUGCGUAGAGAUCGGCAGGAACAGCCCAGGGGGAAACCGAGCCGACUGGGCAUGCGACUGACGCUGAGGUGCGAGAGCGUGGGGAGCGAACCGG
rnacentral:rRNA from 1 species